GAGUUUGAUCAUGGCUCAGAAUCAACGCUGGCGGCGUGCCUAACACAUGCAAGUCGAACGAGAAAGUGGAGCAAUCCAUGAGUAAAGUGGCGACCGGGUGAGUAACACGUGACUAACCUACCCUGAAGUGGGGAAUAACCUCGGGAAACCGGGGCUAAUACCGCAUAACAUCGCGAGCUGUAAACGCUUGUGAUCAAAGGAGCAAUUCGCUUUAGGAGGGGGUCGCGGCUGAUUAGUUAGUUGGUGAGGUAACGGCUCACCAAGACAAAGAUCAGUAUCCGGCCUGAGAGGGCGCACGGACACACUGGAACUGAAACACGGUCCAGACUCCUACGGGAGGCAGCAGUGGGGAAUUUUGCGCAAUGGGGGAAACCCUGACGCAGCAACGCCGCGUGGAGGAUGAAGUCCCUUGGGAUGUAAACUCCUUUCGAUCGGGACGAUUAUGACGGUACCGGAAGAAGAAGCACCGGCUAACUCUGUGCCAGCAGCCGCGGUAAUA
rnacentral:rRNA from 1 species